GAUGCAGGGAUAGAUCGGUGUCACGUGGACCCUCCGGAUAUACCAGCUUCCUAGUCUUGCUCGCCUACUUUAUCAUUAUUUCGUUUCAUCGGAAAUGUUCCGAUACUGACGAUCCACGUAGGAAGCGUCAUUUUCCUGGUAACACACAAGCAGAUAUAGAUCCGGAUAGACUGAUGGAACUUACUCACUCGCGGAUAGUAUCCCUAAACCUCCUGCCCUAAAUCGGAUCCGGAUUCCACUCCCUACCAUGAACAUGAAGAAUCAGUCAACUACCAGCAACAACGCAUGGUGGUGGAUUGGUUGGGUGGAUAAAAUGAAACGAAGUAUUG